GUCGGCGUGGGCGCCGCCGGGCUGGUGCUGGUCGCCGACGGGGGCCGGGGGCUGGGGGUGGUCCCCGCCUCGUCCCGGGACGGGGCGUCGACCCC
rnacentral:tRNA from 1 species